GGAGCGAUGGCCGAGCGGUUAUGGCGUGGGACUCAAGUCCAAUAAACUUAUCCAUCACCAGAUGGAUCGCGUUCUCAUAGGGAAACCUGCGUGGGUUCAAAUCCCACUCGCUUCA
rfam:Exophiala mesophila strain CBS 40295 unplaced genomic scaffold supercont1.4, whole genome shotgun sequence.